rnacentral:rRNA from 1 species
GAAACCCGGUGAUCUAGCCAUGGGCAGGUUGAAGGUUGGGUAACACUAACUGGAGGACCGAACCGACUAAUGUUGAAAAAUUAGCGGAUGACUUGUGGCUGGGGGUGAAAGGCCAAUCAAACCGGGAGAUAGCUGGUUCUCCCCGAAAGCUAUUUAGGUAGCGCCUCGUGAAUUCAUCUCCGGGGGUAGAGCACUGUUUCGGCAAGGGGGUCAUCCCGACUUACCAACCCGAUGCAAACUGCGAAUACCGGAGAAUGUUAUCACGGGAGACACACGGCGGGUGCUAACGUCCGUCGUGAAGAGGGAAACAACCCAGACCGCCAGCUAAGGUCCCAAAGUCAUGGUUAAGUGGGAAACGAUGUGGGAAGGCCCAGACAGCCAGGAUGUUGGCUUAGAAGCAGCCAUCAUUUAAAGAAAGCGUAAUAGCUCACUGGUCGAGUCGGCCUGCGCGGAAGAUGUAACGGGGCUAAACCAUGCACCGAAGCUGCGGCAGCGACACUAUGUGUUGUUGGGUAGGGGAGCGUUCUGUAAGCCUGUGAAGGUGGCCUGUGAGGGUUGCUGGAGGUAUCAGAAGUGCGAAUGCUGACAUAAGUAACGAUAAAGCGGGUGAAAAGCCCGCUCGCCGGAAGACCAAGGGUUCCUGUCCAACGUUAAUCGGGGCAGGGUGAGUCGACCCCUAAGGCGAGGCCGAAAGGCGUAGUCGAUGGGAAACAGGUUAAUAUUCCUGUACUUGGUGUUACUGCGAAGGGGGGACGGAGAAGGCUAUGUUGGCCGGGCGACGGUUGUCCCGGUUUAAGCGUGUAGGCUGGUUUUCCAGGCAAAUCCGGAAAACCAAGGCUGAGGCGUGAUGACGAGGCACUACGGUGCUGAAGCGACAAAUGCCCUGCUUCCAGGAAAAGCCUCUAAGCAUCAGGUAACAUCAAAUCGUACCCCAAACCGACACAGGUGGUCAGGUAGAGAAUACCAAGGCGCUUGAGAGAACUCGGGUGAAGGAACUAGGCAAAAUGGUGCCGUAACUUCGGGAGAAGGCACGCUGAUAUGUAGGUGAAGCGACUUGCUCGUGGAGCUGAAAUCAGUCGAAGAUACCAGCUGGCUGCAACUGUUUAUUAAAAACACAGCACUGUGCAAACACGAAAGUGGACGUAUACGGUGUGACGCCUGCCCGGUGCCGGAAGGUUAAUUGAUGGGGUUAGCGGUAACGCGAAGCUCUUGAUCGAAGCCCCGGUAAACGGCGGCCGUAACUAUAACGGUCCUAAGGUAGCGAAAUUCCUUGUCGGGUAAGUUCCGACCUGCACGAAUGGCGUAAUGAUGGCCAGGCUGUCUCCACCCGAGACUCAGUGAAAUUGAACUCGCUGUGAAGAUGCAGUGUACCCGCGGCAAGACGGAAAGACCCCGUGAACCUUUACUAUAGCUUGACACUGAACAUUGAGCCUUGAUGUGUAGGAUAGGUGGGAGGCUUUGAAGUGUGGACGCCAGUCUGCAUGGAGCCGACCUUGAAAUACCACCCUUUAAUGUUUGAUGUUCUAACGUGGGCCCGUAAUCCGGGUUGCGGACAGUGUCUGGUGGGUAGUUUGACUGGGGCGGUCUCCUCCUAAAGAGUAACGGAGGAGCACGAAGGUUGGCUAAUCCUGGUCGGACAUCAGGAGGUUAGUGCAAUGGCAUAAGCCAGCUUGACUGCGAGCGUGACGGCGCGAGCAGGUGCGAAAGCAGGUCAUAGUGAUCCGGUGGUUCUGAAUGGAAGGGCCAUCGCUCAACGGAUAAAAGGUACUCCGGGGAUAACAGGCUGAUACCGCCCAAGAGUUCAUAUCGACGGCGGUGUUUGGCACCUCGAUGUCGGCUCAUCACAUCCUGGGGCUGAAGUAGGUCCCAAGGGUAUGGCUGUUCGCCAUUUAAAGUGGUACGCGAGCUGGGUUUAGAACGUCGUGAGACAGUUCGGUCCCUAUCUGCCGUGGGCGCUGGAGAACUGAGGGGGGCUGCUCCUAGUACGAGAGGACCGGAGUGGACGCAUCACUGGUGUUCGGGUUGUCAUGCCAAUGGCACUGCCCGGUAGCUAAAUGCGGAAGAGAUAAGUGCUGAAAGCAUCUAAGCACGAAACUUGCCCCGAGAUGAGUUCUCCCUGAGACUUAGAGUCUCCUGAAGGAACGUUGAAGACGACGACGUUGAUAGGCCGGGUGUGUAAGCGCAGCGAUGCGUUGAGCUAACCGGUACUAAUGAACCGUGAGGCUUAACCUUACAACGCCGAAG